UACGAAGGGGGCGAGCGUUGUUCGGAUUUACUGGGCGUAAAGGGCGCGCAGGCGGCUUUUCAAGUCAGGCGUGAAAGCCCCGGGCUUAACCUGGGAACUGCGUCUGGGACUGAAGGGCUAGAGUUCGGGAGAGGAGAGUGGAAUUCCCAGUGUAGAGGUGAAAUUCGUAGAUAUUGGGAAGAACACCGGUGGCGAAGGCGGCUCUCUGGACCGAGACUGACGCUGAGGUGCGAAAGCGUGGGGAGCAAACAGG
rnacentral:rRNA from 1 species